rnacentral:tRNA from 1 species
GGGGCCAUAGCUUAGUCGGGAGAGCAUCUGCUUUGCAAGCAGAGGGUCGGCGGUUCGACUCCGCCUGGCUCCACCA